GGUGCUGUAGUUCAGUGGCAAAGCGCUUGCCUAGCAUGCAUGGGGCAUUGGGUUUGAUCCCUCAGCACCA
rnacentral:tRNA from 1 species